UGGGGAAUAUUGCGCAAUGGGCGAAAGCCUGACGCAGCGACGCCGCGUGAGGGAUGAAGGUCUUCGGAUCGUAAACCUCUGUCAGCAGGGAAGAACGGUCACUGUGCUAAUCAGCAGUGAAUUGACGGUACCUGCAAAGGAAGCACCGGCUAACUCCGUGCCAGCAGCCGCGGUAAUACGGAGGGUGCGAGCGUUAAUCGGAAUUACUGGGCGUAAAGCGCUCGUAGGCGGUAUGUCAAGUCAAGGGUGAAAUCCCCGCGCUCAACGUGGGAACUGCCUUUGAAACUGGCAAACUGGAGUGCUUGAGAGGAUAGUGGAAUUCCAGGUGUAGGAGUGAAAUCCGUAGAUAUCUGGAGGAACAUCAGUGGCGAAGGCGACUAUCUGGCACGUAACUGACGCUGAGGAGCGAAAGCGUGGGUAGCAAACAGG
rnacentral:rRNA from 1 species